GAUGAAGAACGUAGCGAAAUGCGAUAAGUAGUGUGAAUUGCAGAAUUCAGUGAAUCAUCGAAUCUUUGAACGCACAUUGCGCCCGCCAGUAUUCUGGCGGGCAUGCCUGUUCGAGCGUCAUUUCAACCAUCAAGCCCCCGGGCCUGUGUUGGGGACCUGCGGCUGCCCGCAGGCCCCGAAAACCAGUGGCGGGCUCGCUGUCACCCCGAGCGUAGUAGCAACACCUCGCCCAGGGAGUGCCGCGGGCACCGGCCGUAAAACCUCCUCUCGCCCCCCCCCGCGGGAGGGAACACCCCAAAGGUUGACCUCGGAUCAGGUAGGAAGACCCGCUGAACUUAAGCAUAUCAAUAAGCGGAGGA
rnacentral:misc_RNA from 1 species